rnacentral:rRNA from 1 species
GGCGAGCGCCCCCGGAGGCCUUCAAACACUGCAUCUUUGCGUCGGAGUUUAAGUAAAUUAAACAAAACUUUCAACAACGGAUCUCUUGGUUCUGGCAUCGAUGAAGAACGCAGCGAAAUGCGAUAAGUAAUGUGAAUUGCAGAAUUCAGUGAAUCAUCGAAUCUUUGAACGCACAUUGCGCCCCUUGGUAUUCCGAGGGGCAUGCCUGUUCGAGCGUCAUUUCACCACUCAAGCCUGGCUUGGUAUUGGGCGCCGCGGUCAAUCCGCGCGCCUCAAAGUCUCCGGCUGAGCUGUCCGUCUCUAAGCGUUGUGAUUUCAUUAAUCGCUUCGGAGUGCGGGCGGCCGCGGCCGUUAAAUCUUUCAAAGGUUGACCUCGGAUCAGGUAGGGAUACCCGCUGAACUUAAGCAUAUCAAUAAGCGGAGGAA